rnacentral:rRNA from 1 species
CUGGCGGCGUGCUUAACACAUGCAAGUCGAACGAGAAGAGAUGAGAAGCUUGCUUCUUAUCAAUUCGAGUGGCAAACGGGUGAGUAACGCGUAAGCAACCUGCCCUUCAGAUGGGGACAACAGCUGGAAACGGCUGCUAAUACCGAAUACGUCUUUUUGUCGCAUGGCAGAGGGAAGAAAGGGAGGCUCUUCGGAGCUUUCGCUGAAGGAGGGGCUUGCGUCUGAUUAGCUAGUUGGUGGGGUAACGGCCUACCAAGGCGAUGAUCAGUAGCCGGUCUGAGAGGAUGAACGGCCACAUUGGGACUGAGACACGGCCCAGACUCCUACGGGAGGCAGCAGUGGGGAAUCUUCCGCAAUGGGCGAAAGCCUGACGGAGCAACGCCGCGUGAGUGAAGAAGGUCUUAGGAUCGUAAAGCUCUGUUGUCGGGGACGAAUGUUGAGGCCUAGAACAUAGGUUUCAAAUGACGGUACCUGACGAGGAAGCCACGGCUAACUACGUG